AUGACAAUGUAUAGAUGUGUUAAGAGAAAAUGUAUGCUUGGACAAUCCUUGAAUGCCUUCACAAUAACAAACUCGUUAGUUAGUAGCAUAAGAGGGAUUAAAAUGAAAUCAAACGAAAUUUCAAUAACUAGAACAUGUGUUAGUAAUCACGAGGUAUACAAUCAAAAUGAAAUUUGCAUGGUGCACAUGAACAAUUCAAGAACCAAACAAUCGAUUAUUCAAGUAUUUCAAUUCACAAAUGAGCUAAAACCAAAGAAACUCGUGCUAUUAUUCAAACCAAAAUAG